AUUGAACGCUGGCGGCAGGCCUAACACAUGCAAGUCGAACGAGAGGCGGACGGGUGAGUAAUGUAUGGGAAUCUGCCUUAUGGAGGGGUAUAACUACGGGAAACUGUAGCUAAUACCGCGUACCAUAGGAUGAGCCCAUAUGGGAUUAGGUAGUAGGUGAGGUAACGGCUCACCAGGCCGACGAUCCCUAGCUGGUCUGAGAGGAUGAUCAGCCACACUGGGACUGAGACACGGCCCAGACUCCUACGGGAGGCAGCAGUGGGGAAUAUUGCACAAUGGGCGCAAGCCUGAUGCAGCCAUGCCGCGUGUAUGAAGAAGGCCUUCGGGUUGUAAAGUACUUUCAGUCGGGAGGCGUUACCGACAGAAGAAGCACCGGCUAACUCCGUGCCAGCAGCCGCGGUAAUUC
rnacentral:rRNA from 1 species